GUGCUCACUUCUAAACACAUUUACUAAAAUUGGAACAAUACAAUGAUUAACAUGGCCCUGCCGAAGGAUGAUACACAGGUCUAUGAUGCAUUCCAAAGAAAG